CUAGUACUCCCUCCAUCCGAAAAUACUUGUCAUCAAAAUGGAUAAAAGGGGAUGUAUCUAGAUGUAUUUUAGUUCUAGAUACAUCUCUUUUUAUCCAUUUUGAUGACAAGUAUUUUCGGACGGAGGGAGUACUCC
rnacentral:pre_miRNA from 1 species